UACGGAGGGUGCGAGCGUUGUCCGGAUUUAUUGGGUUUAAAGGGUGCGUAGGUGGCUGUUUAAGUCAGUGGUGAAAUACAGCCGCUCAACGGUUGAGGUGCCAUUGAUACUGAAUAGCUUGAAAUAAUUGGAGGCUGCCGGAAUGGAUGGUGUAGCGGUGAAAUGCAUAGAUAUCAUCCAGAACACCGAUUGCGAAGGCAGGUGGCUACGCUUUAUUUGACACUGAGGCACGAAAGCAUGGGGAGCAAACAGG
rnacentral:rRNA from 1 species